rnacentral:tRNA from 1 species
GCCCUUGUGGCUCAGUGGUGAGAGUGCUUGGCUGUUAACCGAAAGGUCAGUGGUUUGAACCCACCAGCUGCU